rnacentral:rRNA from 1 species
CCUACGGGUGGCAGCAGUGGGGAAUAUUGCACAAUGGGGGAAACCCUGAUGCAGCGACGCCGCGUGAGUGAAGAAGUAUUUCGGUAUGUAAAGCUCUAUCAGCAGGGAAGGAAAUGACGGUACCUGAUUAAGAAGCCCCGGAUAACUACGUGCCAGCAGCCGCGGUUAUACGUAGGGAGCAAGCGUUAUCCGGAGUUACUGGGGGUAAAGGGGGCGUAGACGGCAGCACAAGUCUGGAGGGAAAUGCCGGGGCUUAACCCCGGAACUGCCUUGGAUACUGUGCAGCUAGAGAGCAGGAGAGGUAAGUGGAAUUACUAGUGUAGCGGUGAAAUGCGUAGAUAUAAGGAGGAACACCAGUGGCGAAGGCGGCUUACUGGACUGUAACUGACGUUGAGGCUCGAAAGCGUGGGGAGCAAACAGGAUUAGAUACCCGUGUAGUC